AAAAUUUGUAAAUAAAGUUCUGUGUGUAAAACCCAAAAUUGCAAAGAAUUCCAAGUUUCCUGUAAAAUCAUCAAGAAAGUUUCUUUCAGAUUUCUCAUCGCUAUGUUUCGGUAAAUCCACAUCCCAGAUUGGUUUUAAACCUAUCAUAAGUUCCGUACCGUGCUGAAAUUUAUUAUUUAUAGCUCUUCAAAGCUUCUCGAAUCUGAAUAUAGAUAUAUAUGGUCAUCCGCUCUUUCCUACAAGCAAUCUGGCAACGUCCACAACGGUUAGAUGAUUCUUCAAGCUGAGUGAGGAAACUGAGAGGAUUCCGGCAGAUGAAGUUGGGAUGCCGCGACGGAAUCAUCGAUGAUGCAGCUCGAUGUGCUUGAAACAGAAGGGCUGUGACUGUUCUUUUGAUGACGUGGUGCUAUUCUGUUUUAUGAUGGACUGAACCUUAUUUUCAUCUUACUUCCUUUCAUUCUGUACAUAUCAUCUUCAUGUUUAUUAUUUUAUUAAUUCUACUAAAUGCAGAUACCUUCUUCGUUA